rnacentral:rRNA from 1 species
GACAGCAGCCGCCGCGGGAACACGUAGGUGGCAAGCGUUGUCCGGAAUUAUUGGGCGUAAAGCGCGCGCAGGCGGAUAGGUCAAUCUGUCUUAAAAGUUCGGGGCUUAACCCCGUGAUGGGAUGGAAACUGCCAAUCUAGAGUAUCGGAGAGGAAAGUGGAAUUCCUAGUGUAGCGGUGAAAUGCGUAGAUAUUAGGAAGAACACCAGUGGCGAAGGCGACUUUCUGGACGAAAACUGACGCUGAGGCGCGAAAGCCAGGGGAGCGAACGGGAUUAGAUACCCCCGUAGUCCCUGUCUCUUAUACA